UGGGGAAUAUUGCACAAUGGGCGCAAGCCUGAUGCAGCCAUGCCGCGUGUAUGAAGAAGGCCUUCGGGUUGUAAAGUACUUUCAGUCGGGAGGAAGGUGGUAAGGUUAAUAACCUUAUCGAUUGACGUUACCGACAGAAGAAGCACCGGCUAACUCCGUGCCAGCAGCCGCGGUAAUACGGAGGGUGCAAGCGUUAAUCGGAAUUACUGGGCGUAAAGCGCACGCAGGCGGUUGAUUGAGUCAGAUGUGAAAUCCCCGGGCUUAACCCGGGAAUUGCAUCUGAUACUGGUCAGCUAGAGUCUUGUAGAGGGGGGUAGAAUUCCAUGUGUAGCGGUGAGAUGCGUAGAGAUGUGGAGGAAUACCGGUGGCGAAGGCGGCCCCCUGGACAAAGACUGACGCUCAGGUGCGAAAGCGUGGGGAGCAAACAGG
rnacentral:rRNA from 1 species